ACGAACGCUGGCGGCAUGCCUCACACAUGCCAGUCGAACGAAGGCUUCGGCCUUAGUGGCGCACGGGUGCGUAACGCGUGGGAAUCUGCCCUUUGGUUCGGAAUAACAGCUGGAAACGGCUGCUAAUACCGGAUGAUGACGAAAGUCCAAAGAUUUAUCGCCAGAGGAUGAGCCCGCGUUGGAUUAGGUAGUUGGUGGGGUAAAGGCCUACCAAGCCGACGAUCCAUAGCUGGUCUGAGAGGAUGAUCAGCCACACUGGGACUGAGACACGGCCCAGACUCCUACGGGAGGCAGCAGUGGGGAAUAUUGGACAAUGGGCGCAAGCCUGAUCCAGCAAUGCCGCGUGAGUGAUGAAGGCCCUAGGGUUGUAAAGCUCUUUUACCCGGGAAGAUAAUGACUGUACCGGGAGAAUAAGCCCCGGCUAACUCCGUG
rnacentral:rRNA from 1 species